GCCGAGACUUGAGUCACAUCUCAACACCGCUCUUGUCCUGAUGUGCUAGAGUACUCGGUGAGAAUUUGCUGGUCUUAAUUCAAUUGUGGGGACAAUCAGUGCUCCCAUUAGUGCCCAGAUCAGAAACAUAC
rnacentral:snoRNA from 1 species